UCCAGCCAUACCACCCUGAAUGUGUCUGAUCUCGGAAGCUAAGCAGGGUUGGGCCUGGUUAGAACUUGGAUGAGAAAAGUUAAGUGUCCUGCCCAAAGUCACAUAGAGAUUUACAUGUGUGCCUGAAA
rnacentral:rRNA from 1 species